rnacentral:lncRNA from 1 species
AUGAGAGACAGAGGUCUCGAAACAAGGACUCCAGGAAGCCGGAAUAGUGUUUUGAACUCUGGAAAGGUGAUAUCUUGUCUUUUAACAACUUUUCAAACUCUGUGAAGUCAUCUUUAGAAGACGGGCUUAUAGCAUCAAUUCCUUUUACGUUGUUGACGACACCUGAUUUGAGAAGGAAAAAUGAUUUGAGCAGCAGGAUAUGAAGCUUUUCAACAGGAAACUGUUGUUGACAAUGUCUAAAACUCUUGAUACUUUUAGCAAAAUGUCUGGUUUAUCCUAGAUUCUCUGUAAAGCUUUCUAUUAAUCUGUAAUAUGUGUAGACUGUCAGCCUUGAAUAUUUAUCAUUCAACAUACACUACAUGACCAAAAGUAUGUGGACACCUGCUCGUUGAACAUCUCAUUACAAAAUCAUGGGCAUUAAUAUGGAGUUGGUCCCCCCCUUUUGCUGCUAUAACAGCCUCCACCCUUCUGGGAAGGCUUUCCACUAGAUGUUGGAACAUUACUGCAGGGGGACUUGCUUCCAUUCAGACACAAGAGCGUUAGUGAGGUCGGGCGCUGAUGUUGGGUGAUUAGUAGUGUGUCUAAUGCAGUGGGCAUCAUUGACCCUGGUCAUGGACCCCCUUCUUCUACGCUGCUGCUACUCUCUGUUUAUGAUUUAUGCACAGUCACUUUAACUCUACCUACAUGUAUACAUAUUACCUCGACUAACCGGUGCCCCCGGCACAUUGACUCUGUACCGGUACCCCCCAUAUAUAGCCUCGCUAUGCUGCUGUUUAAUUAGGCUGGGUUGUAGCAACCUCAUGAUGGGUAUAGUGAAAAGUUGAGUAUCAUGUAGUAGCCUAAACCUCACUUUCAGGAUGAAUCAAACCAGUAUCGUUUUUAUUCAUCAAUAUACAGUAUUUUGUGCGUAAUGGUAUUUUAUGUGCAUGAUAUGAAGUUUGUUGUAGUGACUGAGUAAGCUUCAUUGUAAAAGUAUGCCUCAAAAGUGUCAUGUUUGCAAAAGUUUAUAAUGCGAAGCACACAUUUAGGCAGCCGGGACCACAGGCCGGGACCUCUCCUUAGGCUGGGACCUCUCCUUAGGCCGGGACCUCUCCUUAGGCCGGGACCACAGGCCGGGACCCCAGGCCGGGACCCCAGGCCGGGACCACUCCGUAGGCCGGGACCACAGGCCGGGACCCCAGGCCGGGACCACUCUGUAGGCCGGGACCUCUCCGUAGGCCGCACCGUCGGUCUAGCUCUCACUGCAGUCCAGUGCCAUGGACAUCUUUGAAGUUUGGCCUCUAUAAGGUUUCCCUCCUAAAUUACUAAAGGCCUCCUCACAAUGGCCUUAUCAAACAAGGCUCUAUAGACAGAUUUAAAAAUAUAUAGGCUAUUUUUAUUUCAUACAUUAUUUGCGUUGAUGAUGUAUGUAAUGAAGUCGAGUGGUUCAACAUUCAAAUGCGUUUUAAUUGAACACACAGGACAGUUUGGACAAGGAGACGGUCGGUGGAAGUCUGGCGCCACCAAGUGGACAAUUAUUUUAGUUCCCUUGUGGCAGCAGUGUUGCUUCCAGAGAUAUUUUAUAAAAUAUCAAAUGUUACGUCAAUAUUAUUAUCUGCAAAUUGUUUCUCCCACCCGUAUUUGAUAGAUUAUUAUUCCAAUUUAUCUGUAUAUCUGGUUUUAACUCAAAAAGGAUUUGUCUCGUUUCCGAUUGGAGGAGGCUGGAUGACCACGUGAUUUCGGAUCCUACCAAUGUGUUACUUUGUAACAGUGAAAAGUGUAUUUUCCCGACGUUGAUCAAAUCCCAAUCUAUGCAGCAUGUUUUACCAGCAUCAUCUUUGAUAUCUGGUGUAAAGUUUACAGAGCUCAUUUUGGUGUACCCGUUAUCGGAUUUGACGUGUCGGAGAACGGCACCUUCCUCCCGAAAGCAUUGCGGUAUCGCUUCUCGGCCUUUUGGCUAAGAUCAAGUGUAGUAUCUGUUCUUAUCAGUUUAAUAUCUGAUACGUCCCCUAUCUGGGGACCAUAUAUUAAAUUGAUUUUUGGAAUAGGGAGAUGGAAUAGGGGCUUGCUCCGUCCACUCCACGCAUCGACCUGGUAUUGCAGUACCUCCAGGAACGGUGCACCCCCUGCCGUUGUGAAUAUAAACCGGAUUAAGGUAACAGAUGGUUUUUAAUCUGGUGACUCUGCACUCCCGGAGUAAGAGAGAAUAGAUGUUUUGUUGCAUUUCAUUUGAAAACAGCUCCUUUUCUUUUUGAAGUUUUGUUGCAUUUCCUUUGAAAACAGCGUCAUCUAGUCCCGUGUGGCUCAGUUGGUAGAGCAUGGUGUUUGCAACGCCAGGAUCGUGGGUUCGAUUCCCACGGAGGACCAGUACAAAAAAAAAAUGCAUGAAAUGUAUGCAUUCACUACUGUAAAUCGCUCUGGAUAAGAGCGUCUACUAAAUGAAUAAACAUGUAAAUAUCUAUAUUUUUGUACAUCAUUUUAUACACAUAAACACGGCAUAAAAGCGUCAAAAACAAAUUGAAUUUGUUUUGAUUUAUUGGGUGACCGACCACCACUUCCUAGGCAUUGACAGACUAGCUCAAACACAAUAACCAACAUGAUUCUAAUCCAAGAACGAUCCUAUCAACUUGAUCUGGUUUAUAUUCACAACGGCAGGGGGUGCACCGUUCCUGGAGGUACUGCAAUACCAGGUCGAUGCGUGGAGUGGACGGAGCAAGCCCCUAUUCCAUCUCCCUAUUCCAAAAAUCAAUUUAAUAUAUGGUCCCCAGAUAGGGGACGUAUCAGAUAUUAAACUGAUAAGAACAGAUACUACACUUGAUCUUAGCCAAAAGGCCGAGAAGCGAUACCGCAAUGCUUUCGGGAGGAAGGUGCCGUUCUCCGACACGUCAAAUCCGAUAACGGGUACACCAAAAUGAGCUCUGUAAACUUUACACCAGAUAUCAAAGAUGAUGCUGGUAAAACAUGCUGCAUAGAUUGGGAUUUGAUCAACGUCGGGAAAAUACACUUUUCACUGUUACAAUGUAACACUUUGGUAGGAUCCGAAAUCACGUGGUCAUCCAGCCUCCUCCAAUCGGAAACGAG